rnacentral:rRNA from 1 species
UGGGGAAUAUUGCACAAUGGGCGCAAGCCUGAUGCAGCAACGCCGCGUGAAGGAAGACGGUUUUCGGAUUGUAAACUUCUGUUCUUAGUGAAGAAUAAUGACGGUAGCUAAGGAGCAAGCCACGGCUAACCACGUGCCAGCAGCCGCGGUAAUACGUAGGUGGCAAGCGUUGUCCGGAAUUACUGGGUGUAAAGGGAGCGCAGGCGGGUGAUCAAGUCAGCUGUGAAAACUACGGGCUUAACCCGUAGACUGCAGUUGAAACUGUUCAUCUUGAGUGAAGUAGAGGUUGGCGGAAUUCCGAGUGUAGCGGUGAAAUGCGUAGAUAUUCGGAGGAACACCGGUGGCGAAGGCGGCCAACUGGGCUUUAACUGACGCUGAGGCUCGAAAGUGUGGGGAGCAAACAGGAUUAGAUACCCUGGUAGUCCACACUGUAAACGAUGAUUGCUAGGUGUGGGGGGUCUGACCCCUUCCGUGCCGGAGCUAACGCAAUAAGCAAUCCACCUGGGGAGUACGACCGCAAGGUUGAAACUCAAAGGAAUUGACGGGGACCCGCACAAGCAGUGGAUUAUGUGGUUUAAUUCGAAGCAACGCGAAGAACCUUACCAGCACUUGACAUCCAACUAACGAAAUAGAGAUAUAUUAGGUGCCCUUCGGGGAAAGUUGAGACAGGUGGUGCAUGGUUGUCGUCAGCUCGUGUCGUGAGAUGUUGGGUUAAGUCCCGCAACGAGCGCAACCCUCGCCAUUAGUUGCUACGCAAGAGCACUCUAAUGGGACCGCUACCGACAAGGUGGAGGAAGGUGGGGACGACGUCAAAUCAUCAUGCCCCUUAUGUGCUGGGCUACACACGUAAUACAAUGGCCAUCAACAGAGAGAAGCAAUACCGCGAGGUGGAGCAAAACUUCAAAAAUGGUCUCAGUUCGGACUGCAGGCUGCAACCCGCCUGCACGAAGUUGGAAUUGCUAGUAAUCGUGGAUCAGCAUGCCACGGUGAAUACGUUCCC